GACGAACGCUGGCGGCGUGCUUAACACAUGCAAGUCGAACGGUGAAGCUCCAGCUUGCUGGAGUGGAUCAGUGGCGAACGGGUGAGUAACACGUGAGCAACCUGCCCCAGACUCUGGAAUAAGCGCUGGAAACGGCGUCUAAUACUGGAUACGAGAUCAAGCCGCAUGGUUAUGGUCUGGAAAGUUUUUCGGUUUGGGAUGGGCUCGCGGCCUAUCAGCUUGUUGGUGAGGUAAUGGCUCACCAAGGCGACGACGGGUAGCCGGCCUAAGAGGGCGACCGGCCACACUGGGACUGAGACACGGCCCAGACUCCUACGGGAGGCAGCAGUGGGGAAUAUUGCACAAUGGGCGAAAGCCUGAUGCAGCGACGCCGCGUGAGGGAUGACGGCCUUCGGGUUGUAAACCUCUUUCAGCAGGGAAGAAGCGAAAGUGACGGUACCUGCAGAAGAAGCACCGGCUAACUACGUG
rnacentral:rRNA from 1 species